GGCCAGUGAUGUGAGAAAAUAUUUGCUACUCUUGAUGGGUUUUAAACAACCCACUUGAGGAUUCCUAUCCACCAAGAUCUCUGAGGCA